rnacentral:lncRNA from 1 species
UCCCCCCUCCCCUCAUCCCAGUCUUCGCCGAUUAGGGACAGCAAGUUCAAAUGUGCAAGUAAAAUGCAAGCUGAAAGGCAGGGAGACAAGGCAGUUCUGAAACUAGGUUAGAGAUUAAACGAGCCUGAUACUUGGCAGCUGUAGGCAAGGUUGGAUUGCCCUAGGGAAAGGGCUCAAAAUGAUUAAUGAAUUGGUGUUAUUAGCCUAUCAUGGGAUUGCAAUUCUGUUUGAAUCCUGAAGACUGAAAUUGAGAGGAGCUGUGUGGGUGUGAAUGAUGUACUGUAGAAGAAAGCUCAAGAACAGUUUCCCAGAAGGCAAGUAGAUCCCUUAAGGCAGCCUCAUGUUUGUUUUACUGCACCAUGUAGUCUAAAAUAUGCCCUUCACUACCAGUGGAUUGAUUCAUCAGCUGAUAUUGGGAUUUACCAUCUGCAAAGCUGUCCUUUCUCAGUUUAGGAGGCUCAGGAAACAAAGGAGGCCAAGCAGAGCCCUUCAAGAACCAGCUUAAAGCCAGUUGUGCAGCCUGAUCUCCAGGAAAUGCUAAAACAGCCACAAAUGAGGGAAAAAAAAAAAUAAUUCAAAGGAGUUCACAUGAAAACAGCCCAGUGCUCUGGCUCUGUAAGCAAUAAGGAGUGGAGGCCCUUGGAGGAACACAAGAACAGGGUAGGUGUGUUUUAUAAUCUUUGAUGUAUUUUUCUGUUGUUUUGUUUUGUUUUUCUCCAUGAAUUCUUACCACCCAUCUCUGAAGCUUUACAAGCGUAGCCUUUUCUGUAUCCUGUGG